UGGCCUGGAGACCUCUCAGCCCAAGGGCAGGGCAGGAGCCCAGGUAGAGAGCAACUCCCGGGGGCCCUCCCUGGAGCCCAGCACUGCCCACACUGGGGCUGUGAAGCUGGACAAGGAGAAACUGGUGCAAAACCUGAGGGGCCCCAGGACAUCGAAGUUCUGCAGACAGACCUCGAGCAAUUUGCCAAGCUCCUGAAGCAGAGGAGGAUCACCCUGGAAUAUUCCCAGACCCAUUUGGAGGUCCCCGGGGGGUUCUCUUUGGGAAAGUGUUCAGCCAAAUGACCUCUGCCGCUCUGAGGCUCCGCAGCACAGUUUCAAGAACACAUGUUAGCUGUGGGCCCUGCUGCAGGAGUGGCAGAAGCUGGCAAUGAAUACCUUCAGGAGAUGUGCAAAACAGAGACCCUCCUGCAGACCAAAAUAGAAAGCAAAUGCUUAUUGAGAACAGAGUGGGAGGCAACCUGAAAACUUGUUCCUGCAGUGCCCGAAACCCUCACUGCCUCAGAUUAGCCCCAUGGUCGAGCUGCUUGGGCUUGAGAAAGAUGUGGACCAAUGU
rnacentral:lncRNA from 1 species